CACAAAAACAACACGAACACAGCAGGCGACAGUUCAGGCGACGACGAGCCGCUCAUCAAGAUGAUCAAGAAAGCCCCGACCGACGGACAGCUGAAGGACACGGUCCAGAGUUUGCUGAAGGAGGCGAAUCUGGAGGAGAUGACCAUGAAACAGAUCUGUCAGAGGGUGUUUGACAGCUUCCCAGACCACGACCUGAGCAGCAAAAAGGACUACAUCAAACAGACAGUCAAAUCUCUCAUCACAUGAAGAUCAGGAAGUCGUGAAACUUCACAAGAGAAGAAGAGUUCAGCACAAAGGACUGAAAAGUUUGUUUCAUUAGUUCUGUUUGUUUUCAUAAAAAAUUGUUUUAUACAUGAUUGUUUUUUAUUAUUAUGAAUGUUUCACGUUAACUCCACAUCGUUCAUCUUUUUUAAUGCUCUCUGCUCGAGUCCAAAGCAAAGUAGGAAAAAAAAUUUUAAUCAAUAAAAAAAGGACAAUUUUUCAAAACAAGUGGAAAAACCAACAUUUCUUCAACUUUACAAACUGUUGUGUAGUUUUCUUCAGUGAAGUCGACUUCAUACAAGAGUUUGUAUCAGAAAAUCUGAAUUAAACAACUGCUCUGUUAGAAAAUGUUUGAUUCAUUAAUUCUAUAAUUUGACUUGAUGCAUUUGGCUUCAAAUAUAAGCAGUUUUGCAGGUUACAAUAUUGGACAUUGUAAGAAUUCAUGUGUUUUUGUGUUUGUUUUUAUUUAAAACACAUUUUUACAAACCUGAUCUUUGCUUUUGACUCAUUUUUAUUUUUGGAUAAAAAUGUGUGUGUUUCUUAUUAGAUUAAGUUAUUUUUGAUUUAAACAUUUGUAAUUAAUUGUCUUGAAGCUGAAAACAGUCAAACCUUUUUUAUUGUGGAUUUUGGAUUUGUUCGUUCCCUUUGGUGAUUUUCUGUCAAACAUCAUUUACACUUUUCACAUUCAUAGAUUAACAGUCGUUUACUUCCUGAUUAAAAUUCUACCUUUUUUAACAAAA